GAUGAACGCUCGCGGCAGGCCUAACACAUGCAAGUCGAGGGAGAAGCCCUUUCGGGGGCAGAAACCGGCGCACGGGUGCGUAACGCGUAUGCAACCUACCUUUCACAGGGGGAUAGCCCGAAGAAAUUUGGAUUAAUACCCCAUAAUAUUAUUGGAUGGCAUCAUUUGAUAAUUAAAACUGCGGUGGUGAAAGAUGGGCAUGCGUCCUAUUAGCUAGUUGGAGUGGUAACGGCACCCCAAGGCUACGAUAGGUAGGGGUCCUGAGAGGGAGAUCCCCCACACUGGUACUGAGACAGGGACCAGACUCCUACGGGAGGCAGCAGUGAGGAAUAUUGGUCAAUGGUCGGAAGACUGAACCAGCCAUGCCGCGUGCAGGAAGAAUGCCUUAUGGGUUGUAAACUGCUUUUAUAUGGGAAGAAUAAGGCGUACGUGUACGUUGAUGACGGUACCAUAUGAAUAAACAUCGGCUAACUCCGU
rnacentral:rRNA from 1 species